CAUGGUAUGUAGAUGGAGGUCAAAAA
rnacentral:piRNA from 1 species